UCGCAACCCAUUGAUAUGUACUUGUCCUUCCCCCUUCUGAAUCUUAAUUUUAAUCUUAUUUGCUCACUGCCAUGACCAAGUCCCAGUGUGCCAAAAAAUCCAAAUCCAUGGUUGUUUGCUCGAGGAUGCCGAGAGAAGAACCAAACAACCAAAUCUGAGAUCCAAAACCAUAUUAGAGAUCAAAAAUGAAGACAAAUAACCAGAUCUGGAUCCCAUGGUGGUUGACACACAAUGACACAGUGGUCAUUGAUAGUGAGGGGUGAACUAAAAACGUUUUAGGUCGCGCCCACAAUGGCAAUGAAACCCCAACUCGGUGCAUUGGGAUUUCAAAAUUGUUUUUGUGCCUCUCUGAUUGCUUUAUUUCUUUUUUUUCA
rnacentral:misc_RNA from 1 species